CUUUGUGGUCGAGUGCUAAGGACACUUGCCUCUCACCCAAGUAAUCCCGGGUUCAAUCCCCGGUCUAGAAGA